rnacentral:miRNA from 1 species
AAUUUCAUCAAUCUUGUCGGA